UUACCUCUAGAGAAAGCGAGCCAGCUAUGCUUGAGUGCCUCCCAAAGCCCACUCAGCAGGUUCUUUGAUUCCAUGAGCCUUGCUGGAGGGAGUGUGUAAGGAGAUGCAGACGGACACCGGACAAGCCCUGACAUAAAGAAUGUGGCGGGCAAAGGGAAGUGGCAGAGAGAGUCCUCACACGGACUCUACAUCUGAUUGCAGCCUUCCUGGUUCAGCCCCGAGAUGGAAGGGGUCUCUCACUUCUGAUCCAUUUGACAGUAAGCUCAUGACCCUCGUCUGUUUGCAUCAAAAUUGGCUCCUCAGUGGUCUUUGGGGUCCCUGAGACUUGGGCGUAACAAGGCCACUGGCCAUGUUUAGUCUGCUAUUUUGUCUUCCUGCUCUGGACUCUUCCAGAUGUCUCUGAUCCCGUUCUCCCUUAUAUCUACUACAACAGUGACCCUUCUCCUCAACCACACCUUGGAACAGUCAUUUCCUCACUUCACGCACUGAUUGAAUGGGCAAACACCAGAUUUCACAGGUCCACGCUGAGGAUUUCAACAGAUCUCCUAGGGAACACAGCGAGGCCUGUAACAAGUGAUAAACAUGUGAAGUGAGCCUGCGACUGUCAGACCCAGGAUAGAAGGGCCAGUGGCUGGAUUGCAGAGUGAAGGGAUGGGGACAGGGAGCGUUUGCAGCCUUUGUGGUAGAGGCCACACUCCAUUCCUGGAUGGUAGCCACUGAGAUGAGAUCUUUGGUUGUAAUACAUUAUCCAGCUGUGCCCUUCUGAAUGUGCACAUUUCUGAAUAUCUAGUGUGUCUCAAUAAAAAUGAUACAGUAGUGAUUGGCCUGGGAAGCAGUUGAGAUACAAUACUAACUGGAAAACAUCAAGGUUAUAAAAGCAUAUUGCAAUUGAUUCCUUUUGAAGGGAAAACACAGCCUACAUCCACAGCAGGAAGUGUCUAGAGGGCAGACACUGCUGCCACUCAGGUCAAGGGAGAGAAACUACAAAUGUUUUCAGCUAUAUACAUUCUCUGAUGUUUGGUGGGCUCUUGCUCUUUGUAUGGUGGCUUGAAUGUCAUAAGCAAGUAAAUUAAUAAAAAGACAAUGAGCAGC
ensembl:lincRNA Gm44201 predicted gene, 44201